GGAGGCGGUACACAAAACUGCCACCGUCCCAUUACCCAACAGCCUGCCUCUGUUGAGGGGCUUUCCUGGGACUUCAGACUGGCACCCUCAUUGUGCUUGCAGCUGUCAUGUUUCCUUGCCCAGAUUGCCCAUAGCUGCUUCCCUGGCCUCGGCCUUGAACCCCUCUAGCCAGCAACUGCCCAGGUAACACUUUAUAAAACUGAGCCGCUGUCCCUGCUUGGAGCCUUCAGAGUAGACUUCAGACCUAGGCAGAGUAUCCACUCAGCUCUGCCGUUUCUCCUGCUCCCCACUUCGGGCCUGCACGCUUCCCGCCGCUCGGCAUGCUCCUUCCCCUUCUCCGAGAAUGACGUGCUCCCCGCACUCCCCACACUGCCGCCUUGGGACCAAGAAGGUGCCUCUCACACCUUACUGCUCUCCUCCAGGCUUCGUGGUUGCUUUUCAGCCUUUUUCCCUGGAUUUGAACUUUAACAAAGGUAAGAUGGAGGUUUAUUUUUCACCACUUGGCUGUGAGUUCCUUGAGGAUAGGAACUUGUGUUUUACUCAGAUCUGAAUCUCCAUUGCUUUAGUGGUGUGCUCAAUACAUGGUAGGGGUGAAUAUUUAAUGAAUGAAUGAGUGAAAAUAUCUAAAUUUUGCACAGGAGAGCAAUUAGAGAGGCUUAAACAGGAAGGAAGUCUUCUAAUUCCUUAAAAGCAUUAUCUCAUAUUUGAAGAGUUCAAGUUUGAUGCAACAUAAACUGAUAAAGUUUGAAAUAAAAAGAGACAGGUUGGUAGGAAAGACCAUUCAUAUCCUAUCCCCAAACUGGCUUAAGUCCACUCCCACUGCCCCCAGCUACCACCUUUUUACUUUAUUCUACCUGCUAUUUCUUUGGCCACCGGAAUAAUAAGCCUGAUGUAAAUUCUGUUUCAUACUCCCACAGGUCAACUUUUUUUGGAGUUUGACAAUAAUUAUUCCAAGUCAAGUAAUUCAUUGAUUUUAGUGGAAGAUUGUUUUCCAGGUGUUAUUCUUCCAUGCGCCUCACCCCCAUCUCAUAAAGUAGAAAAGAGAUGAUUUAAUUUAUGGGUCUAGAAAAUAAAAAUGUAAAUACUUGCUUGUUAAAUUAAUUUUUUUCUACCUUCAUUUUUACCUUUAAUAUUUCAAGAUAAUAUUGGACUUAAUUCUCUGAGACACACAAACAUCCUGCAUAAGUAUAUUGACAACAUACAUUUUAUAUGUAAGUGAACCAUAUGGGUGAGCCUCUGCUUUCUCCCUGACAGCGCUGUUCUUUAAGAAAUUAAGGCUAACCAGGUCUAUAGGUUUUAAUGGGAGAUGUCUCCUAACUUUUCAAAGACCAGAUGUUCUUGUUAUACUGAUAAAAACUUAUUAAAAAAAAAAAGAAAUAGGGAUUGAUGAUGUUCAACAUUAUUCUCUUUGAACAAAUACAUCAUUUGUUCAUACUUGGUUUCUCAGUAUUUCAACAAUAAAGCAUGUUUUAAUGAUUUGUCUUUAGAGGAGUGAGCACUCCUCUGGGGGUAUAUUACAACUGGGAAAAAAAAUAUAGUUUGAAAAUAAAAUAACUGUUUACCCUUAAAGAAAUUAACUCUAUGGUGCCUUAAGGUUACAUUUGCAAUAAACUUUUUUACAUCUU
rnacentral:lncRNA from 1 species